UCCCAUAGCUCUGUAGACUUUGUUAGAAUUUUCAGAACCACUUUUCUUGCCAUUAUUUGUGAGGCCAAUAUCACUUGAAAAGCAUUUGGAAUUUGUAGCUGUCCUGAGUCUUGAAUCCAUAGCUGGCUGGAACCCAUGACAGAUAUUUGAUUCAGUAUUGGGUAAAAAUUUGAGCAUCAACAUCUUUAAAAAUACCAGUAGAAUAGCAUGAAUGACUGAGCAAAGACAUUAAAAAGUUGAAUUCACAUUGAGCUGUUUCUUUUUCCUGGGUGUUCUUAAUACCAUAGACCUGAAGAAGAAAGGAGGAGGAUAGGAGUCACAAAUUUCUCACCUGCAGGAAGGCUAAUUACCAACAGAACAAAAGAUUCCAUCUCCAAAGUAAAUUUGCCAAUAAGCUUCACAGUGGAAGGUGUGAUGGCUGAGGGAAUGGACCAUAUUCUGAUUUCAAAAACAUACUAUUCUUUCUAAUGGAUUUAAGAAUUUGGAAACAAAAGUCAAGAAGUCUACAGGCAGUCUGGCUCCUGACAGCAGAAGAAAAAGAGAGAAAGCUGAAGAACAAAACUGAAGAUGCAUGAAAAAAACCCAGAAAAAUCUAUAUCAGAAAAUUAUCUUGACAAAUAUGCAUAGAAAGUCAUUCAGUAGCUGUAGACAUCUUGCUUUAUCUCCUCAACUGUUUUGCUCCAUCAGUAAGCUUUGCUGGAAUUGCUAAAACAACAAAAACAAACAAACAAAAACAAAAAACAAAAACUUAACCAAUGUCUGUAGAUGGGGGAGUUUACAAAUAUCCUGAAUCAAUGAAUUAAGUAACUAAGUUUAUGAUAAAUAAAUUAAUUGCAUAGUGCCAUAAUCCCAAAAGUAUAUAAUGCAGCCAUGAAUUAAUUGUCAAUUAAUUGGAAUAUGCAUAGUUUUCCACUAGUCUGAGUUACUGUUUGUUUUUUAUUCAUAUAAUAUGCCAUUUUCUGGGAGAAACAUCUGGAUAUUCCCUGCAAAAGUGCCACUAAUAAUCUUGAUUAACUUGAGAAGCAUUAGUUAGUGAAUAUUUUAAGGAAAGCUCUUUGGUGAAAGAUUCCACUAACAUUUCUCCCACACCAAAUGUGCACGUGUGUGUUAUUCAUGUUAAUGAAUUUGAUCCAAAAUAAAACAGAACAAAAUAAGCAAAUAAAAAAUGCCCCCCCUUUGGUAAAAGACCUGAGGACUGUUGAAUUAAACAUUAAAAUACUUUUAGAUGUCAAACUCUAGCUACCAAAUCAUUUUAUACCCCAGAAUAUGCCAGACUGAAAAAAAGGUUUAAAAUGGUUAUGGAUCAUGUCCUGAAGGUGAACAGUAAAAUGCUGAAUACAUCCACAGUUCCUGUAACUAAGCAGCUUUGUAAAGUAGAAGAAAAACAACGCAAGUACUUUAUUAUCCUGUAUUUUCAGGAUGAUCAUCCUAUCAACUUCAGUGA